GAAAUUUGUACCGGAACGGUUUCGGAGCCUUCCGUAUCCCGCACAGAGGUGACAUUUUCUUUGCUUUCCAGCCCGCAAACAGCAGGCAUAGGGGACAGGGGCGAGCAGACGCCGCAGGAUCUAACACCCCCCCCCUUCCCCAGCCCCAGACACAAACAUGCUCUGCUCUUCUCUCCACGCUCGCGGCACCGCGCCGCGCCGCGCGCCAGAGGGCUCAGCUCGAGCUCCGCCGCCUCGCUUCAAGGCCUGACGGGAACGGUUCCUCCCUCCCCGGCGCUCCCGCACCGCCGCUUCCUCCGGCUGUCAGGCCUGGCUCGGCCUCGGCAGGCCCUGCCCCGAUGGGGAAGGGGCCGCCGCGGCGCUGCCCGAGGGCCGUUCUCGCUCCUCCGCCCGUGCAACGGCGUCAGGCGGCUCUUCCGGAAGCACGGUCCCAGCACGGGCGCCCGACGCGGCCCUCCAGGGCAGCCAAGUGAACCGACGCGGCAGCGGGGCAGCCGAGCUUCGCUUCCCUUCCCAUCCCGGGGGUCCCCCAGCCUCCUCCCGCCCCCGCCGCCUGCCCGCCGCCAUCUUGUGCGCAGCCGCUGCGACACAGAUACAAUAGUCGGCCCGGAGCGCACAGGAGAGGCUCGGGAGCCCCACGCUACGGGCUCCCGCCUUGCAGCCCCUACGCCCCCCAAGGCAGCGGUCCUACCUAUGCCUACCCGACUAACAGCCGGAUCCCAUUUGCGCCCCACACAGUUUAGCACUCAGCCUCCGGUCCCGACGCCGAAGGAGCUACCGCCUCCAGAGAGCUGCACGCAUGCGCGCCUGUCGAGCCUUUGCGAGCCCUCAUCGGCUCCCGGCGCCUGCGUACCGCCGGCCCCGCGCUCGCCCCGAGGCGCCAGGAAGGAGCCGCAGGAGCCUGGGCCCGAAAGGGAGCGCUCGCGCGCGGGGCGGCCCGGGAGCGCCCUGUGCUGGCCGCCGCCGCGUCGGCGCCUCUGCUGCUCUGCUCCGGGCCCGUCCAAAUCUUGCGCAACCUGGAAGACUUGUGUUGUCUCGCCUCCGCGAAGCCCCCCCCGACCGUUUCUGCCUUCGGUAACACCGCGCACUGGGUAUCAUAACGCUCUGUAUGGUUAG
rnacentral:lncRNA from 1 species